rnacentral:lncRNA from 1 species
GCGAGAGUUUACGUGAUUUUGUGUGUUGUUUUUUCACCUCAACUGCCGAGUACUGAGGGAAGCUCAGGAAGCUCUGAAGAUACAGCAUGGCCAGCACAUCCUCACUCUCCACAAAGAAUGCAGUGACAUAUGAGGAUGUGCAUGUGAACUUUACUCGGGAAGAAUGGGCUUUGCUGGAUCCUUCCCAGAAGAGUCUCUACAAGGAUGUGAUGCUGGAGACCUACAGGACCCUCAGAGCUAUAGACUCUUAUUGGAAUGACCACAUUAAUGAAGAAAAUUCUCAAACUUCUAGAAGAAAUGGAAGGCAUCUUCAAACGGAAGACAGAACUCACACUGGAGAGAAAACCUAUGAAAGUGUGCAAUGUAAUGAAGUGCUUUCGAGUCACAAUCAUCCUCAGAUAUAUAAAGGAAUGCUUACUGGAGCCUUUGUACUUUAUACUGGUCUUCAAAUGCAUAGAAGAACACAAAUCCGGGAUAAACCCUGUGACUGUAACACACUUGGUAAAGCCUGUGCAUGCCACAGCCAUCUGCAAAGCCAUAAAAGAACACAUACUAGAGGGAAGCCCUACAAAUGUGACCACUGUGGUAAAGCCUUUGCAUAUCAUGGUGAUCUUCAAAGGCAUGAAAGAACACAUACUGGAGAGAAGCCCUAUGACUGUAAAGAAUGUGGUAAAGCCUUUUCAUGUCACAGUGGUCUUCAACAGCAUAAAAGAACACAUACUGGAGAGAAGCCCUAUGAAUGUAACCUCUGUGGUAAAGCCUUUGCUCGUCAAAGCAAUCUUCAAAGGCAUGAAAGGACACAUACUGGAGAGAAGCCAAAUGAAUGUAACCACUGUGGUAAAGCCUUUUCACAAUACAGUGGUCUUUUGAGACAUAAAAGAACACAUACUGGAGAGAAGCCCUAUGAAUGUAACCACUGUGGUAAAGCCUUUGUUUGUCAAAGCAAUCUUCAAAGCCAUGAAAGGACACAUACUGGAGAGAAGCCCUAUGAAUGUAACCAAUGUGGCAAAGCCUUUGCUCGUCACAGCAAUCUUCAAAGUCAUGAAAGGACACAUACUGGAGAGAAGCCCUAUGAAUGUAACCAAUGUGGUAAAGCCUUUUCACAAUACAGUGGUCUUUUGAUACAUAAAAGAACACAUACUGGAGAGAAGCCCUAUGAAUGUAACCACUGUGGUAAAGCCUUUGCUUGUCAAAGCAAUCUUCAAAAUCAUGAAAGGACACAUACUGGAGAGAAGCCCUAUGAAUGUAACCAAUGUGGUAAAGCCUUUUCACAAUACAGUAGUCUUUUGAGACAUAAAAGAACACAUACUGGAGAGAAGCCCUAUGAAUGUAACCACUGUGGUAAAGCCUUUGCUUGUCAAAGCCGUCUUCACAGUCAUGAAAGGACAUAUACUGGAGAGAAGCCCUAUGAAUGUAACCACUGUGGUAAAGCCUUUGCUUGUCAAAGCCGUCUUCACAGUCAUGAAAGGACAUAUACUGGAGAGAAGCCCUAUGAAUGUAACCAAUGUGGUAAAGCCUUUACUUAUCACAGCCAUCUUCAAGGGCAUGAAAGUACACAUACUGGAGAGAAGCCCUAUGAAUGUAAACAAUGUGAUAAAACCUUUGCUUGUCAUAGUGGUCUUCAAAGGCAUGAAAAGACACAUACUGGAGAGAAGCCCUAUGAAUGUAACCAAUGUGGUAAAGCCUUUUCACGAUUCAGAAAUCUUUCGAAUCAUAAAAGAACACAUACUGGCGAGAAGCCCUAUGAAUGUGACCAAUGUGGUAAAGCCUUUUCAUAGAAGAAUUGUCUUCAGAUUCAUAAAAUAGCACAUACUAGAGAGAAUCCCUUUGAGUGUAGCCUUAGCUUGUCAUAGCCAUCUUCAAAGCCAUAAAAGAACACAUACUGGAGAGAAGCCCUAUGAAUGUAACCACUGUGGUAAAGCCUUUUCUUGUCAUAGCCAUCUUCAAAGCCAUAAAAGAACACAUACUGGAGAGAAGCCCUAUGAAUGUAACCACUGUGGUAAAGCCUUUUCUUGUCAUAGCCAUCUCAAAGCCAUAAAAGAACACAUACUGGAGAGAAACCUUAUUCGUGUAACUACUGUGGCAAAACAUUUGUAGAAAACACUAAUCUCCAAAAGCAUAAAAAAACCCUACACUGAAAAGACUCUCUAUGUAUGUAACCAAUGUGAUAAAGCCUUUGCUCAUCACAGCUGUCUUCAAAUCCAUGGAAAGACACAUAGAGGAAAUAAACACUAUGCAUGUACCCAGUGUCGUAAAGUGUUUUCACAUAACAGUAAUCUUCCAUACCAUAAAAGACACAUACUGAAUAGAAGCCCUAUGAAUGUAACCAAUGUAGUAAAACCUAUUCACAGAAGAGUUUUCUUCAGUGUCAUAAAAGAACACAUCGUGGAGAGAAGCUCUAUGAAUGUAACCAAUGUUGUAAAGCCUUUGCUCAACACAGCCAUCCUCAAAGCAAUAACCGGACACAUACUGGAGAGAAACACGAUUCAUGUAACCAAUGUGUUAAAGUGUUUUCACAUAACAGUUAUCUUCAGAGUUACUAAAGAACACAUUACUUGACAGAAGUCCCAUGGAUGUAAACAACGUGGUAAAGCCUUUGCACAUGUCGUCUUCAAGGGCAUUAAAAACCUAGAUUGCAGUGAACUCUUAUGAAUGUAGUCAACUUGAUUAAGACUUUGCAUAUCAGAGUCUCCUCCUUUUGCAUGAAAAGAAUCAUUUAGCACAGUGAUAUUGUGUGUUUGUGUGUUUGUGUGUGUGUGUGUGUGUGUUUAUGCUUGUAACUCUUUUGUCUACUCAUCCCAUACUCUUUCUCUAGUUAAUUACUUGCCUAUCUUUGAUAUGAGGAUUUGUUGUUUUUUUAUUGUCAUAUGUUAUGUCUUGUUUAGUUGAUAUCCACAAGAGGCUGCCCUGCUAUUUUUCGAAGAGGAUGGUUGAGGAGUGGAUCUUGGGACCAUGGUAGGUUUGGAAUGUCAUGGAGAAGUGAAGGGGAGGGAAAACAACCCAGGAAUGAAACCUUCAGCCUAUAAAGUUUCCUGCUUGCAAGGUGUACUGUGUCAAUACUAGCACAGAACUUGUGGUAGUAACCAAAUAUAGUGGUUUAAUUGGAUGCACAUGAAACAAGAAGGAGCCUGUAACUGACACUGGUUGAUCAGAAACUAGAAGCAAGAUAAGCAAGAAUCAUACUUUAGAACCAAACAUUACUACCCGUUGUCCAUCAACUCUUUCCCUACAAAAAACAUGGUGAUGUUCUGCUCUUUUCAUAGUUUUGUGACUUGUCCAACUGUCAUUAAUGUCUGCCUUCAGUAGGGCAUGGGAGUAAUAUAAAUGACUCACAAUUAAACAGUAGAAGCUAGGUUUCCAGUCUCUAUUGUUUUCUUUGUCUAUAAGCUUGGGGAACUGCUGAGAAGAGGGGGAGAAAGAAUUGUGGAAACCAGAGGUUUUCAAAGGCACAAGGAAAGCACAGGCAACAUAAUUACCUGACUUGGAUUCCUGGAGUUUCCCAGAUAUUGAGGCACAAUUUUGGAGCCUGUACAGGUCUACACUAGGUACACUGCAUAUAUGGUGUUGUUCCUGGAUGGUGGUUUUGUUUGUGGGAGGUGUUGAGGAAUACUGAGAGUAGGACUGAAAGUUUCUUUUACUCUUUUGCCUGCUCUUAGUACUCCUGUCCUCAAGUGUUGAAAUAAGGGUUUGUGCUUGUUCUAGUUUUAUCUAAUCUUGUGUUUCAUUACUGUGUCUGGUAGACCUAGUUUUUCCUGUGGUACAUGUAAGACAGUCAUUCUUGGAAAGAGUUGAGUUGGGGAGGAAUUGGGAGUGCUAGAAAGAGGGAUAUUUCCAGUUGGAACAGAUUGCAUUAGAUAAGAAUAAAUAAUAAUAAGAAGAGGGGAUAUAGGCAAAAAAAUUAGAGACAAAAGGUUUUAAAGCUUACAGCAGAUAAAGUUUAGAUAUAAGAAAUUUGAGUAUCAUUUGUAUGUGCUUACAUGAGUGGCUCCCAUAUGAAAUAACUUGUAAAUCUAGUGUGCAAGUCUUUAACCUUUACUUGAGCUGUGAUUAGGAUAAGUGUUUUGUAGGAAGAAAGUGUGGUUUUAGGAUCUUCUGAUUCCAAGGCAGAAGAGAUAGUCACACCAGGACCACAGGAGCAUGAAGGAAGAGACAAAGAAGACACCUGUGAGAAGUAGGUGAGGUAAGGGGAGAAGUAAAAGUUAAGGGUGAUCUAAAGAAUAUCCCUGGCUUCCAAAUGGAGCGAAGAGGGAACAGAGUAGCAAAAUACAGGGCCCUCCACCCAGUGAUGGUUCCCAUAUCCUAGAAGCCUCGGGGGUUGGGGUCACUGAGAAUUUAUGGUACAUAGCAGGCAAUUUGCAAUGAGAAAUGAGGAGCACAGGGUUGCAAUACUUAGGCCAGGUGCUAGUGAAGAUAGAUCAGGUAGCUCUGAAGAGGAGGAGGCAAGGAUAUGGUCACUUGUCCAAGAGGGCAGAAUCAAGAUGGAUGGCUACACAUCCUAGAUGGAAGGAAGUUGAAGCCCCAUGAAUUAGCUCAACAAAAGAUUUCAGAAAUAUAAAUGUCCUGGUGUCUAGAAUUUAUAUCUAGGGCAGCCCCAAGAAGAAUAAGAGACCUGAAGGAGAGAAGUGUCUCAAGUCACAGACUAGAGUCAUCUCUAUUCAUGUUAAGUGGGCAGGACUAGAAGGCAUCCUUGUACACCAGUGUGACUUUUGUAAUACUAGUAAGGAAAAUAGGAACUUCUGAAUUGACACUUCACACUAGAGGAGGAGAGACUAGCAGUCAGAACAGCUAGAGCAGAUGUCUAUUAAAAAGAUGGAGUAGAAGAAGUCUCUGGGAAAGAAGAGGUUUCCAACACAGGGAGACAAGUUAACUGUCUUAGAUGUCCCUUUGUUCCUGCCCACAUAUAUUGUAGCAGGAUCCAGAAGCCAGAGAGACUCAGAGUUGCUUGAUGUGUUCCCAAGAGGUGGAACAGGCUUCAGGAACCAGUGAGGUGUUUAUACUAUAAAUGACCAGAAUUGAACUGUUAGAACAGGGCGAGAAGAGGCACACUCUCUUGGAGUCAAACUAGUUGACUGAGAGAAGCCAGCCACCUACACACCUCAGGCAAGUCAUAUGAGAAAGUUGUUUCAGAGAGACUGAGUCCCUUGCAUGGGAAGUCCUGUAUGCUCUCCCUCUGGUGUUGGUACCAGAUGAAUGAAAAGGAGGGCAUGACCACUCGUAGGCAAGUUUGAGAAGAAUGUUUUAUUGAAGGGAUGAGCAAUAGCACAACUAUGUGCAUCUGGAAACAUCCGAGCCUCAGCUGUGCAGAGUACACUUGGACUUGAGUUUAUCAUUGAAGGAGUUACAACUGAAAGAACCUAGUGGGGAAACCCCCACUCAAUUCCUGAUUCGGUGUGCACCCAAGAAUCACGAACAGACGACCAUCUUGAUGUAAAAACAGGAGGUAGAUUAAUGGCAGAGCUCCAGGUUGAAAUGUAUCUCAUGCAGGAGACAGUGGUUUCGACCAUUUAAUGUCGGAGCUCCGGGUCGAAAUGUAUCUCACGUAGGAGAUAGUGGUUUCGACCUUUGGUGGAGACAUAAUGGUGGAGAUCUGGGUCGAAACGUAUCUCAGGAGACAGUGGUUUCAACCACGAGGCUUGGAGCUAGGGGUAUUUAUAGAAAAGGGCUGGGGUUGGGGGAGGAAUUGGCGAGGUUUCACAUGAUUGGUCCAUUUAAACAUCAGCAGACUGUUAACUUUUAACUUAGGUCAGAAGGGCAGGAGAUAGGGAGGCACCAGGCCAGUCGGCAUGUCGUUCUCUUUAUUUGUCUUUAUCUUUAUGGCCAAGUAGCCUCAGGAAUAUCUUAAAGACGGGCCUGCCCGGGCAUGUCCUGGCCUGUUUCGCUGUGUUCUCAGCCCCAGGUUUCAAAACUCACAAACAACUCUUUGGGCUAUUUGACAUAAAUUACAUGAAUCACAGGUCUCAAGUUUUAUAUCCUUUCACAACUAAAUUGAUGAGUGGGGAGAAAGAGUAUGAGAAGCAAGUUCUAUGGGAACCCACAGGUUUUACAGAAAAAGGGAAGUUAUGGGUAGGGCAGCAAAUGUCAGUGACAAAAACAAGUUUAGGGAAGUGGUGGAUAUGAGAGGUGCUCAGAAGAGACAGGAUUUUAUUACAGGUAAUAGCAGCCAGCACCUGCUUUUGAUAUGUUAAAUAAAUAAGCCAUUUGUCCCGAGUUUCUCUGUGAUUUCACAGCAUACAUAUAAAUGAGUAAGUGUUUGAGUAUUUCAGUCUAUUUCAUGGUAUGUGUGUUAACCAGUCCUAUGUUGUUUUCUGUGCAAUUGCUUAAAUGAUAUCUCUGCCUUCAGUGACAAUGCUGUGCUCCUUUGGGAAAUCAUCAGAGUGCUGUAGUAUAUAUCAUGAACCUAAUUUAUCACUGAUUUUAACUGCUUACAUUCUACUUCUUAAUUCUGUAGCCUUACAUUAUUACCUGUUUGUAUUUUAUAUCUAUGGAAUUUUGCUUACAUGUAGACCUGUGAACUGCAAGCCAGAGGACGUUUCAGAUCAACUAGAACUAGUAUUGCAGAAUGUCAUGAAUCCCCCUUUGAGCGUGCCUACUAUAACUGAGCCAGUGCCCUGUGGAGAAGCAGUAAUUGCUGUUAUGCUCUGAGCCACCACUCCAGAGUCAUAGAACAUACGUUAGAUUCAAGAAGAAUUACCUUGAAAUAAUGUAGAAUAUUGAUAUUUUUAGAUACAUGUGCCAACAUUGCACAUAUUCACACUGUGCUCUGGGCCCUCCAAAGCUGUUCAUUUUGUAAUGAUGACUGUGUAAAUGAGUGCUAUUAAUUCUUACUAAUUUCUUGAUGACUUAGACAUUUUACUAGGGUUGUUUUUGUAAUGUAGUUGGAAAAAGUAUCUGUCAUCCAUAAAUGACGAAACUGUUUAUCCCUUGUUCUUCAGGGAACAGUGCUUGACUGCACAGUUUCUAAUACACCUUUGGUAUCAAUUUUGAAAUAAGUCAUUUAGACAUAGAUUUAAUCUUGCUGUACUUUUAUUAGAUUAGUAAUACCAACAAUAUUUCUCUCAAUAUUUGUUUGUCAAAAGGUGUCAUUGUAUUUGUUGGUUGAUCACAUUAGAGGGAUUUCAAAUUACUUUUUUUAGGUUCUGCAUUCUCAUUGUGAAUAUUAAUUUUUUUUCCUGUUUACUUACAUUAGUGUCACCAUGUGUCUCAGACAGUAAAAAAAAUCUCACCCAGGCAGUGGUGGUAUAUGUCUUUAAUCCCAGCACUUGGGAGGCACAGGCAGGCGGAUUUCUGAGUUCGAGGUCAGCCUGGUCUACAAAGUGAGUUCCAGGACAGCCAGGGCUAUGUAGAGAAACCCUGUCUUGAAAAAACGAAAAAACAAAGACAUAAACAAACAAACAAAAAAGACAAUAAAAAAGUCUUUUAAAAAGUUAAUCCAGUUUGCCAUUCAUUGAAGAUUAAUACAGCCCUCAUGCCAGAUUCCUUAAACAUGCAAAUACGUGUUCUACAUUUGCAAAUUAACUUUCCCAUUAAGUCUCUCAAAUACACUGUGAACAGAAGUUGUAUGUUUCAAUGAGAAGUAUUGCUUUGGUUUGUGUGUGUCUGUGUGUGCAUAUAAAAUGCCCUAUCGGGAUAUUUUUCCUGCCAUGAAAGAAACAUAUCUUAGUAUGUUGUAUAGGAAAUCUCUGUUUAUUCUAAUGCUUUUAAAAUGAAAACAAUUUUUAAUAAAAUUAGUGUAUAUUGAUUUAAUCUUACAAUAACUUUACUUUCUCCAUCUUUUUUAUUGAUAUGAUUUGGAUAUAUAACUUAUAAG